GAGCCUGAGAAACGGCUACCACAUCCAAGGAUGGCAGCAGGCGCGCAAAUUACCCAAUCCCGACACGGGGAGGUAGUGACAAUAAAUAACAAUACGGGGUUCUUUCGGAUCUCGUAAUUGGAAUGAGUACAAUUUAAAUCUCUUAACGAGGAACAAUUGGAGGGCAAGUCUGGUGCCNNCAGCCGCGGUAAUUCCAGCUCCAAUAGCGUAUAUUAAAGUUGUUGCAGUUAAAAAGCUCGUAGUUGAAUUUCGGGGUUAGUAGGUUGGUCAUGCCUCUGGGAUGUACUGGUCUCACUGAUUCCUCCNNNCUUAUGAACCGAAAUGNNNNUAAUUUGGUGUUGCGGGGAAUUUGGACUNNNACUUUGAAAAAAUUAAAGUGUUUAAAGCAAGCUAACGCUUGAAUACAUU
rnacentral:rRNA from 1 species